CCUGAAAGACAUUAACGAUGAUCCAUUCAUGAUACAUGAUAUCAGUGUCCUAAAACUCACAGGAAAGAUUGAGACAUUUGCUUCCUGUGCCAAGGCCUAUAAGCACAGGAUACACCUAAAUGGACCAACACAUCAGGACGGGCGGCCGUCAGGUCCUACUGCAGCUUCCUGCUUGGUUGAACGCAUGAAGAGCAAGCUGGCUGUUCUGGACCAUGUGCUCUCAGCUGGGUUUGCCCGACCGAGCUGCCCGACACCGGACUGUAACCUCGUCCUGAAGGAGACCCAGACGGGACGACGCGUGAUUUUCCAUGCGGACAACGCGAGCGGAGGACGCGGCUAAAGCUGUGAGGCGGCAACAGCUGCAGGAGCGAGGCGACAGUUCAAAUAAGGCUGUGUGGAAGCAGCUGUGCUGGAUUCAGCCACAAGAAUCUACGGGCUCACAAGCACUGGAGAGGCGUGGACGGCGACAUGCUGGCGUCUCUGGCGCCUCCAGUCCACCUGUCGGGCGAGAGGCUGGGCUGGACCCUGCUGGUCUGCAUGGUCAGCGACAUCGGGAGAGGACGCCUGCAGGUCAGCUGGAGGUCGCCGUCAGAGGGCCGCGCUCCCACGACGCAGCACAGUUUGGCAAUAAACAAGAAGCACCGCAGCCACCGCGCUGUUGCAAUAAUCACCGUGGCGACGAGGGACUGGCCGUCGUUCUCAUGCUCCGUGAGCCACAGACGACACGCGAAACCCACCAGGAGGCGGUUCACCUCGUCACCAGAUGGUCAAGACAACAUGUGCAGAGAAGAUGAAGAUGAACACGAUGUUCUUAUGUGGACAAAUACAGUGGUUGUACAGGCUUUGAGGCUGAUUUUAAUGAAGAUCAUUGUCUUCAACACCCUGAUGACCAUUUAUGCUGUCAUCACGUGAUGUCUGGAAGUGGAGGCUGUUACAGCAUUUGACUUGGAAAACAAAUGAACCUGGAGAAUGGGCUCUGCUUGGGUUCAUGCAUGAAACGAUCCCGUUAGAAUCUGGAGCAUGGCGCCAUUUUCAGCCUCUUUACGCUGGCGUCCCAGGUGUUACCGACUGUGGCAGUUGAGAGCAGAUCGUGUUUGUGAGGUCAGACCUGGUACAGUAUCUGAUCGAAACGUAACCUCAGACAGAUGGCUGGUGAACAAACUCUACAUGUGUACGAUUGCCUGUGUUUUUCGGAGAAGACCCUUGUGUGAAGUCCUGCUACUUUUUAUUCCAACUCGUUUUAUAUCUUUAUUGUUGUUGUUUAACUUUAGCUUUAUUUUAGUGUAACGUGAGAAAAUAUGACAUACACUCAUAUUGUUUUGAUUUUAUUGGUCUUUUUUAAAUAAAACACUUGCACACAG